UCAGUAGCGGCGAGUGAAGCGGCAAAAGCUCAAAUUUGAAAUCUGGCGUCUUUGGCGUCCGAGUUGUAAUUUGAAGAAGGUAUCUUUGGGCCCGGCUCUUGUCUAUGUUCCUUGGAACAGGACGUCACAGAGGGUGAGAAUCCCGUGCGAUGAGAUGACCCGGGUCUGUGUAAAGUUCCUUCGACGAGUCGAGUUGUUUGGGAAUGCAGCUCUAAGUGGGUGGUAAAUUCCAUCUAAAGCUAAAUAUUGGCGAGAGACCGAUAGCGAACAAGUACAGUGAUGGAAAGAUGAAAAGAACUUUGAAAAGAGAGUGAAAAAGUACGUGAAAUUGUUGAAAGGGAAGGGCUUGAGAUCAGACUUGGUAUUUUGCAUGCUGCUCUCUCGGGGGCGGCCGCUGCGGUUUACCGGGCCAGCAUCGGUUUGGAGCGGCAGGAUAAUGGCGGAGGAAUGUGGCACGGCUUCUGCUGUGUGUUAUAGCCUCUGACGAUACUGCCAGCCUAGACCGAGGACUGCGGUUUUUACCUAGGAUGUUGGCAUAAUGAUCUUAAGUCGCCCGUCUUGA
rnacentral:rRNA from 1 species